CCUACGGGAGGCAGCAGUAGGGAAUAUUGGGCAAUGGAGGCAACUCUGACCCAGCCAUGCCGCGUGCAGGAUGAAGGCGUUAUGCGUUGUAAACUGCUUUUAUAUAGGAAGAAAGAGUUCUUGCGAGAACAGUUGACGGUACUAUAUGAAUAAGCACCGGCUAACUCCGUGCCAGCAGCCGCGGUAAUACGGAGGGUGCAAGCGUUGUCCGGAUUUAUUGGGUUUAAAGGGUGCGUAGGCGGUUUAUUAAGUCAGUGGUGAAAGACGGUCGCUCAACGAUUGCAGUGCCAUUGAUACUGGUAGACUUGAGUGAGAUUGAGGUAGCUGGAAUGGAUAGUGUAGCGGUGAAAUGCAUAGAUAUUAUCCAGAACACCAAUUGCGUAGGCAAGUUACUAAGUCUCAACUGACGCUGAGGCACGAAAGUGUGGGUAUCAAACAGGAUUAGAUACCCUGGUAGUCCACACUGUAAACGAUGAUAACUAACUGUUGGCUUUCGGGUCAGUGGUACAGAGAAAUCGUUAAGUUAUCCACCUGGGGAGUACGCCGGCAACGGUGAAACUCAAAUGAAUUGACGGCUGAGAGNGCGAGAGACACGAGGGAGAGG
rnacentral:rRNA from 1 species